UAAUUUUUUGACCCUCUUUGAAUUGUGCUGUAAAUUAUAUAUAUAUGAUGUUAAUGGUAAUUUUGCAAGUAAAGAAGGUAAAACUGCUGAAGUAGAAGGCUGUGAAAAAUACAUAAUUAGAAAGACUUCACACCCAAAAGUCGUGAUGUCGUCACAUGAGCAUGAACAGGUCUUACUCGUUCUUUUGCUUCUCGGCUAACGAAAGGACGAGGAGUCGCUGGAUAAAACACAUCAGGUCCCGUCGGGGGACAACAGAAGUCAUCCAGCUCAAAAGUAGCGGCGCCUUCAGGACCUGAGUUAGCCUGAAGCUAGCUGACCACGCCAUGUGAAACCUAUCUAAAGAUGCAGUCACAUGGCUAGCAGGCUAACGGAGAGCAAAGUCAGGACGCUAACUGACACGUAGCUCCGUGAAGAAAACAAAGGCUACAGGCAGGGAGAGUCAGGAGAGAGGAAGAGGACGACGGAGACGGAGGAAGGAAGGUUCAGGAGAGGUGAAGCAGAAAGGAGGUCAGGGCGAAAGAGGAAAAAAGAAGAGAGGAUACAGAUAGAGAGAGAGAGAGAGAGAGGAAGAUAAAUGAGAGAGGAGAUGGACAGAGGGGUAUUAGAAGAGACAGGAGGGAGAGCAGGAGGGAAAAAGAAAAACAGAAGGACGGGAAGAUGGAUCAAGGG